rnacentral:snoRNA from 1 species
AUUCCAUGAUGAGGGCACUUUCGUAGUAAUUCUUUGUACCUUUCCCAUGCCUCAUACAAGGACUCAUCAUCCAUUUGUUGGAAAGUAGUGAUCUCGUUCCUCAACUU